UAGGGAAUAUUGCACAAUGGGGGAAACCCUGAUGCAGCGACGCCGCGUGAAGGAAGAAGUAUUUCGGUAUGUAAACUUCUAUCAGCAAGGAAGAAAAUGACGGUACUUGACUAAGAAGCCCCGGCUAAAUACGUGCCAGCAGCCGCGGUAAUACGUAUGGGGCAAGCGUUAUCCGGAUUUACUGGGUGUAAAGGGAGCGUAGGCGGCAUGGCAAGUCAGAAGUGAAAGCCUGGGGCUCAACCCCGGAAUUGCUUUUGAAACUGUCAGGCUAGAGUGUCGGAGGGGUAAGCGGAAUUCCUAGUGUAGCGGUGAAAUGCGUAGAUAUUAGGAGGAACACCGGUGGCGAAGGCGGCUUACUGGACGAUUACUGACGCUGAGGCUCGAAAGCGUGGGGAGCAAACA
rnacentral:rRNA from 2 species